AACGAAUAAGUCGACCGCCUGGGAGUACGGCCGCAGUAAACUCAAAUGAAUUGACGGGGCCCGCACAAGCGUGGAGCAUGUGUUAUUCGAAGCACGCGAAGAACCUUACAGUCUUGACAUCUAACUGACAGGUCCUUAAUCGGACUUUCCUUCGGACAGUUAAGACAGGUGGUGCAUGGUUGUCGUCAGCUCGUGUCGUGAGAUGUUGGGUUAAGUCCCGCAACGAGCGCAACCCCUAUUUCCAGUAGCCAGCAGUAAGAUGGGAACUCUGGAGAGACUGCCGGGGAUAACCCGGAGGAAGGUGGGGACGACGUCAAAUCAUCAUGCCCCUUAUGAUCUGGGCUACACACGUGCUACAAUGGCAGUUACAGAGGGAAGCAAUACUGUGAAGUGGAGCAAACCCCAAAAAGGCUGUCUCAGUUCGGAUUGUAGUCUGCAACUCGACUACAUGAAGCUGGAAUCGCUAGUAAUCGCGGAACAGCAUGCCGCGGUGAAUACGUUCCCGGGUCUUGUACACACCGCCCGCCACGCCAUGGGAGUUGGUUCUGCCUGACGGCGUUGAGGUAACCGAGCAAUCGGAGCCUGGCGACCACGGUAGGGUCAGCGACUGGGGCG
rnacentral:rRNA from 1 species